rnacentral:rRNA from 1 species
GGGGAGGGACUAACAGGGGAUUCCCCUAGUAACUGCGAGUGAAGCGGGAAAAGCUCAAAUUUAAAAUCUGGCGGUUCUUGUAGCCGUCCGAGUUGUAAUUUAGAGAAGUGCUAUCCGUGCUGGACCGUAUACAAGUCUCCUGGAAUGGAGCGUCAUAGAGGGUGAGAAUCCCGUCUUUGAUACGGACUGCCAGGGCUUUGUGAUGCGCUCUCGAAGAGUCGAGUUGUUUGGGAAUGCAGCUCAAAAUGGGUGGUAAAUUCCAUCUAAAGCUAAAUAUUGGCGAGAGACCGAUAGCGAACAAGUACCGUGAGGGAAAGAUGAAAAGAACUUUGGAAAGAGAGUUAAACAGUACGUGAAAUUGUUAAAAGGGAAACGCUUGAAGUCAGUCGCGUUGGCUGGGGAUCAUCCUUGCUUUUG